UACGUAGGGGGCAAGCGUUGUCCGGAAUCAUUGGGCGUAAAGCGCGCGUAGGCGGCCCGGUCAGUCCGCUCUGAAAGUCCAGGGCUCAACCCUGGAAUGCGGGUGGAUACUGCCGGGCUAGAGUCCGGAAGAGGCGAGUGGAAUUCCUGGUGUAGCGGUGGAAUGCGCAGAUAUCAGGAGGAACACCGAUAGCGAAGGCAGCUCGCUGGGACGGUACUGACGCCGAGGCGCGAAAGCGUGGGGAGCGAACAGG
rnacentral:rRNA from 1 species